rnacentral:rRNA from 1 species
UACGUAGGCAGCGAGCGUUGUUCGGAGUUACUGGGCGUAAAGGGUGUGUAGGCGGUUCUCUAAGUUUGGUGUGAAAUCUCCCGGCUCAACCGGGAGGGUGCGCCGAAAACUGGAGGGCUAGAGUGCGGGAGGGGAGAGUGGAAUUCCUGGUGUAGCGGUGAAAUGCGUAGAUAUCAGGAGGAACACCGGUGGUGUAGACGGCUCUCUGGACCGUAACUGACGCUGAGACACGAAAGCGUGGGUAGCAAACAGGAUUAGAAACCCCCGUAGUCC